ensembl:lncRNA
CAGACUGUCCCAGGGGAAGGGCGCCCAGGGAAGGACUGGGGCAAGGAGCCCCACUGCACCCGCUGUGGUCCAAAGAAAGCCCACGUUCCCUCUUGGAACUCGAAAGGGUACCCCUCUAGACAGACAGUGCUUGGCCGGACGGAAGCAGAGCGGUGUGUGGUCACCUGCCCGGGAAUGAGACCCACUCCGUACGAGAGACGAGGGGGCUACAGACGACGGGGAGGCUCGGGGCUCCGAGGCUGCAGGACCCCCGGCCUGGGGUCACCGAGACAGCCUCCUUCCCCAGGAUGAGCAGAGCGGCUGCAGAGUGGUGGGGAGAGGCCGCCCACGGAGGGGUGGGCGUGGACACGGCAUGGCCCUGCCUGGCCCACCCACAGGGAGACACGCGGUGGAGCCCCCGGGGGUCUCCCAGGACCAGCUCCUCCCACCCCGACCUCAGGGGAAGAGCUGUGGUCAUGGAAACCGCUCCAUCGUCUGAAUUUCAGAGCUGG